AAGCAGUUUAUCCUUUCAAUGUGCAAACAAGGCAUCUCUUCCAAGCAGAUGUAUUAGCGAGUCACCACAGCAGGUGCAGCCCAGGGAUGCUCACACCCAGCAUCAGAAAAGUCUGACCCGGGGGAAAAGGAAGGUCCUGCUGCCUGGCAGAGCACAGAGGAAGGCCUGUGGCUCUGUAAUUCUGUUCUUCACUCACUGUGCAGUGUGCAGUUAAUGAGAUACUGCUGCCAGUUUCUCUUCUUGUGCUGUCCUAAGGCUGCUUCUGCUGCUCUUCCCUCAGCACCCACGUGCUGCACGCGCCUGUGCAUUCCCACAGCUCUCCCUUGGUAAGUCUGGAGCCAGCAGGAGGCUGUUCCUACAGACUUUGGGAAGGCAGAGGUGCAGGAUCUGCUAUCUGCACAUCUGCAAUCAUACCCUUCAUUCCAUUCAAGGGUAUGUCAGCCUUAAGUUACAGAGCUCUGCAAGAUGUUUCCUUGUCCUCCUCUACUUCCACCUGACACAGGAAUGCUGCUAUCACCACCUGGUUGCCUGGUAAUUCCUUUAAUAAGACCGUGUUUCCAAUUGCUAAGAUUCUUACUGAGCUUCAAGCACCAGGCUCUGUGGCCCCAGUGAGCAACUAGGGAAGAUUUCUUCUGUCACAGUUUGGACACGUAAUGGGAAAUGGUAGCAGAUCUCUGACAGUCUUACAGUUUGAAGCAGGGAAUUGAAAAUUAGGUGGUAGGGAGGACUUCAAAUUUAUUGAAGUGGUGUGCUUUAUGAAUUGUAUGAGGAAUCUUCCAAACGCCCUGAAAAUUUGAACGUUGAAGCUACCUAGGUGAGAUUGGAUGAAACUGAACUGCAAUUUCCCAAGAAUUUGAGGUUUUUAAGGGCCACAUUAAGAGAAGAGAUAGAUUUUAGCACCUUAUCACCACCUUCAGUGCUGUAUGGCUGGACCUGAAAGCAAAAAGGCUGUCCUCCUCAUCUCUCGGAGACUUCCCUGCUUAUCCUAUCCUACUCCAAGGCAAAAGAUAAAACCUGGCUUCAGCAACACCUGCAAUGAAGGAAGGACAAAGAGGCUGAGGACCGAGCCGUCACUGAGACAAGAGCAUGAGAGCUGGCGGGCAAAAAUCUGUGACAGCGAGCCCAGGAGCUGCAGGGUGUGGGCUGGGGGGUUGUUGAUCACACAUGGGCUGAAGGAGGCAGGUGGCAAAUGGCUGAGGAGACGAGGACUGAAUCUGGCCGGAGGAGAAGGACGUUGAUCGGUGGUCGGGAAGAAAAGACAGUGCGAGGCUGGAGCGAGUGCGUGCCUCAGCCCUUCGCUGCUCUGCGCCGGGCCGGGCAGCGCCGGGCGCUUAUCGCUCGGCCACACGCGUCCUGCACGUGACGGGCCCGUGUCCCCCGCCAGAUAACGCGCGUGGUGACACCAGGUACCACGGAAUGAAAGCUGUCCCGCAUUGACCCUUUUCUCUCGCUUGAACACCUGGCAAUUGCACCUCCCAGCCUGCGCUACGUGCACGUUACCAUCAAGGCCUCAUUAUACCAAACACCGGGACAGACCAGAGGCAUUCUCUGUUUCCCUCAGCCGCCUGUGCGCCACUCUCCCUCAAACCCGUCCCGCAGGCAAACUGCUGCUGUUUCCAUGCGUGUCCCUGCAGUGGCAGCUGUCGCUGUGCCGAGCAGUGCCCCAGCACAGCCUCCUGGGCAGGUUCUGUUCAGCCCUCAGAGAAGGGCGCGUCGCGCCCGCCAGGCGGGGCAGAGCGGCGGCCGCGCUCGGUGCUGCCUCACGCGGCCCCGGCCACGCAGGGGCAGCCCGCUCCCCUCAAGGGCAGGUGCGGCUGACAAACGGAGCCCGCGGCGCCGCCGCUGCCCACCCGCCGUGCCCCUCGGCCUGAGGGGAAGGCAGAGCCGGGGCCAGCCCCGCGGGCCCGGCCUGGAAAACCUUUGGAAAGGCCGGGAGUGAAGGGCACGGGCAGCGCGAGGCCGGAGCUGGGGCAGGUUUUGCCAUUUGAGGCCUUUUCCAUGAGCUACUCUACUUUCUUGAAACUGGAGGGCAAGAGCAGCAUGGCCAGCAUCAGCUCAGGCCUGGCACUGCAGGGACUUCGCUUGAAUAGUGAACAGAGCACAAAACAGGACUUGGAAACUAUUGCAACUCUGAAAACAAAGAGACACUUUGGCAUGAAUGUGUCUGAGAAAAGACUAAGACUUCAUUUCAAGCACUGUUUCUGCUUCAUCACCUGAAUACCUUUAUUUCUGCAAACAGUCCAUAGACAAUUACAGUGUAGAAGACCAUGUGACAGUACUAGUGCUGUACUUCUGCUAUCAACAGAGGAAAAAAAAACCCACUUACUAUCCAGGGGAAAAUGUUCUUUAGCUGCUUAAUCUGGAAGACUUCUCCAGCUGCCAGUGCAUGGAGUGAAAGAAGUGCUGUGUGCUUUGGCAGGAGGCCCAGUGCUGCAGAACUACCAGCCAGAGUUUUCUCACCUCUUACAAGGAUGACAGCACCAAACUGAGCACUCUGG